UUCUUUACAGCUGUCAUCAUGCUCGGUGUUAUUUCCUGUUCUGGUGUUGUAGAGGCUUCUGCUUUGUCUUCCAUUGACGGACUACUGUUUAUUUCAGUUUUUAUAUCAAAGGAAAGUGUUGGUUCAGUACUGGGUUGUGUUAUCGCCGAGUACCCAGAAUUAUGUCCGGAUCCAGCCUGCAAGUCCUCCACAGUAGCUGAUUGGUACUCAUCGUUCAAGUCUGUUCUAGACUCUUGUUUCAAUUCAACAGAAGUUUUAUUCGAGUAGUGAAAGCUUCCAAAGAUUCCAGCCAAACAAGCGACUAUCACGACUAUCAUGACUGGAGCAGAGAACAAGGAUUGGUUUGCUUCUCUUUCAGGAAUAUUUGCCUCUCUUUUCUUCUUAUUUUUAUCAUCUUCCAUCGUUUGUCUUUCUAGUUAAGAAUCAAUUCAACUAAAACAUUCAUUUAGUUAAAGUUUUUAACGAACAGAUUAUAUUUAACUCUACUUACUGACGUGGCUACGACACUGCCUUCAUUGGAGUUUACAGUUGAUACGCCAAACAAUCAAAAUUUAUGAAUAAUGUUUUUAAUAUGAAGUUGAAUAUGGUGAAUGCUUUCCGCCAGAUAACAGACAAGUAAAAAAUGUCUAACUAUAGAAGUUAAUGUUUGUAUAACACACGUACAAUGACUCUUUACUAGAUUUGCCAAAAUUAUAAACGAUUUCUAGUCCAUAAUUAAUAAAAAGAGUAUAAGCAGCUUACAAAAAUAUUACAAGAAAUGUUCGUUGCCAGUGCAACCGUUUAGUAGGUUAGAAGUAUGUGCUGGUUAUAAUGGAAGGGGUUGAUAUUAUUUAUAUUAAUGGAAUAACUGAUUACUUUCUUAUCUAGAUACCUUUAAAGUGCUUGUAGUAACUAUUCGAUACUUACUGAAUCUAUUCGUUAGUUAUUAAUGCAUUGAUAAAGGAAAAUAAUAUGGUUAAA